UUAAGCGACUAAGCGUACACGGUGGAUGCCCUGGCAGUCAGAGGCGAUGAAGGACGUGCUAAUCUGCGAUAAGCGUCGGUAAGGUGAUAUGAACCGUUAUAACCGGCGAUUUCCGAAUGGGGAAACCCAGUGUGUUUCGACACACUAUCAUUAACUGAAUCCAUAGGUUAAUGAGGCGAACCGGGGGAACUGAAACAUCUAAGUACCCCGAGGAAAAGAAAUCAACCGAGAUUCCCCCAGUAGCGGCGAGCGAACGGGGAGCAGCCCAGAGCCUGAAUCAGUGUGUGUGUUAGUGGAAGCGUCUGGAAAGGCGCGCGAUACAGGGUGACAGCCCCGUACACAAAAAUGCACAUGCUGUGAGCUCGAUGAGUAGGGCGGGACACGUGGUAUCCUGUCUGAAUAUGGGGGGACCAUCCUCCAAGGCUAAAUACUCCUGACUGACCGAUAGUGAACCAGUACCGUGAGGGAAAGGCGAAAAGAACCCCGGCGAGGGGAGUGAAAAAGAACCUGAAACCGUGUACGUACAAGCAGUGGGAGCACGCUUAGGCGUGUGACUGCGUACCUUUUGUAUAAUGGGUCAGCGACUUAUAUUCUGUAGCAAGGUUAACCGAAUAGGGGAGCCGAAGGGAAACCGAGUCUUAACUGGGCGUUAAGUUGCAGGGUAUAGACCCGAAACCCGGUGAUCUAGCCAUGGGCAGGUUGAAGGUUGGGUAACACUAACUGGAGGACCGAACCGACUAAUGUUGAAAAAUUAGCGGAUGACUUGUGGCUGGGGGUGAAAGGCCAAUCAAACCGGGAGAUAGCUGGUUCUCCCCGAAAGCUAUUUAGGUAGCGCCUCGUGAAUUCAUCUCCGGGGGUAGAGCACUGUUUCGGCAAGGGGGUCAUCCCGACUUACCAACCCGAUGCAAACUGCGAAUACCGGAGAAUGUUAUCACGGGAGACACACGGCGGGUGCUAACGUCCGUCGUGAAGAGGGAAACAACCCAGACCGCCAGCUAAGGUCCCAAAGUCAUGGUUAAGUGGGAAACGAUGUGGGAAGGCCCAGACAGCCAGGAUGUUGGCUUAGAAGCAGCCAUCAUUUAAAGAAAGCGUAAUAGCUCACUGGUCGAGUCGGCCUGCGCGGAAGAUGUAACGGGGCUAAACCAUGCACCGAAGCUGCGGCAGCGACACUAUGUGUUGUUGGGUAGGGGAGCGUUCUGUAAGCCUGUGAAGGUGUGCUGUGAGGCAUGCUGGAGGUAUCAGAAGUGCGAAUGCUGACAUAAGUAACGAUAAAGCGGGUGAAAAGCCCGCUCGCCGGAAGACCAAGGGUUCCUGUCCAACGUUAAUCGGGGCAGGGUGAGUCGACCCCUAAGGCGAGGCCGAAAGGCGUAGUCGAUGGGAAACAGGUUAAUAUUCCUGUACUUGGUGUUACUGCGAAGGGGGGACGGAGAAGGCUAUGUUGGCCGGGCGACGGUUGUCCCGGUUUAAGCGUGUAGGCUGGUUUUCCAGGCAAAUCCGGAAAAUCAAGGCUGAGGCGUGAUGACGAGGCACUACGGUGCUGAAGCAACAAAUGCCCUGCUUCCAGGAAAAGCCUCUAAGCAUCAGGUAACAUCAAAUCGUACCCCAAACCGACACAGGUGGUCAGGUAGAGAAUACCAAGGCGCUUGAGAGAACUCGGGUGAAGGAACUAGGCAAAAUGGUGCCGUAACUUCGGGAGAAGGCACGCUGAUAUGUAGGUGAGGUCCCUCGCGGAUGGAGCUGAAAUCAGUCGAAGAUACCAGCUGGCUGCAACUGUUUAUUAAAAACACAGCACUGUGCAAACACGAAAGUGGACGUAUACGGUGUGACGCCUGCCCGGUGCCGGAAGGUUAAUUGAUGGGGUUAGCGCAAGCGAAGCUCUUGAUCGAAGCCCCGGUAAACGGCGGCCGUAACUAUAACGGUCCUAAGGUAGCGAAAUUCCUUGUCGGGUAAGUUCCGACCUGCACGAAUGGCGUAAUGAUGGCCAGGCUGUCUCCACCCGAGACUCAGUGAAAUUGAACUCGCUGUGAAGAUGCAGUGUACCCGCGGCAAGACGGAAAGACCCCGUGAACCUUUACUAUAGCUUGACACUGAACAUUGAGCCUUGAUGUGUAGGAUAGGUGGGAGGCUUUGAAGUGUGGACGCCAGUCUGCAUGGAGCCGACCUUGAAAUACCACCCUUUAAUGUUUGAUGUUCUAACGUUGACCCGUAAUCCGGGUUGCGGACAGUGUCUGGUGGGUAGUUUGACUGGGGCGGUCUCCUCCUAAAGAGUAACGGAGGAGCACGAAGGUUGGCUAAUCCUGGUCGGACAUCAGGAGGUUAGUGCAAUGGCAUAAGCCAGCUUGACUGCGAGCGUGACGGCGCGAGCAGGUGCGAAAGCAGGUCAUAGUGAUCCGGUGGUUCUGAAUGGAAGGGCCAUCGCUCAACGGAUAAAAGGUACUCCGGGGAUAACAGGCUGAUACCGCCCAAGAGUUCAUAUCGACGGCGGUGUUUGGCACCUCGAUGUCGGCUCAUCACAUCCUGGGGCUGAAGUAGGUCCCAAGGGUAUGGCUGUUCGCCAUUUAAAGUGGUACGCGAGCUGGGUUUAGAACGUCGUGAGACAGUUCGGUCCCUAUCUGCCGUGGGCGCUGGAGAACUGAGGGGGGCUGCUCCUAGUACGAGAGGACCGGAGUGGACGCAUCACUGGUGUUCGGGUUGUCAUGCCAAUGGCACUGCCCGGUAGCUAAAUGCGGAAGAGAUAAGUGCUGAAAGCAUCUAAGCACGAAACUUGCCCCGAGAUGAGUUCUCCCUGACUCCUUGAGAGUCCUGAAGGAACGUUGAAGACGACGACGUUGAUAGGCCGGGUGUGUAAGCGCAGCGAUGCGUUGAGCUAACCGGUACUAAUGAACCGUGAGGCUUAACCUU
rnacentral:rRNA from 2 species